rnacentral:snoRNA from 1 species
AUACAUCUCUGACAGACCAGGAGCAGUUAAUGCCUGCUGCUUAAGGUUUCCACUACAGAUGAAAGAAAAAGAAGGACCUCAUGCUCUCUGUCUGGCUGGUUCUGGCAGCCAAGAUUGAAUGGGAGAAUAUAGGA